rnacentral:lncRNA from 1 species
GUAAACACUUUUCAAUUAAUUUGAAACUUUAUAUACUAAUUUUUGGAACUGUAUUACAAUAUAAAAAAUAUUUCCCACGAAAAAAGUGAUGAAAAAAGUAUAGAAAAAAGAAAAUAUGAAAAAAGAAAAAAGAAAAAAUAUUCUGUGGGUUGAAUUUUUUUCCAAAACUUUCCAGAUUAGAUCUAUAUUAUUUAAUGAGGCUUCAGUUUAAAUUUUGUGAUUUUUGGAAAUU